rnacentral:lncRNA from 1 species
AGGCCACAUGGACAUUUCAAAUCCAAUUAACAAUGACCAGUGAGGUGACUCGGCUUUGUCAAAGGAGCACCCCUAAGCUAUGUUCGGCCUUUGUACUGAGAGAGGAAGUUGCAUCUCUGGGUGGACACAGCCUGUGGCUCCUGUUGUACAAAGGGCCAGGCCCAGGAGAAGAAUGGAUUGGAGAAGGGACAUCAUGUUUCACAGCUGUGACAUUUGCCAUCGGGCCUCAGGACACCCAAUG